CACGUAGUUGGCCGGUGCUUCUUCUACCCCUACCGUCACCCGAAGGCUUCGUCAAGGUCGAAAGAGGUUUACAACCCGAAGGCCGUCAUCCCCCACGCGGCGUCGCUGCGUCAGGCUUUCGCCCAUUGCGCAAUAUUCCCCACUGCUGCCUCCCGUAGGAGUCUGGGCCGUGUCUCAGUCCCAGUGUGGCCGGUCGCCCUCUCAGGCCGGCUACCCGUCGUCGCCUUGGUAGGCCAUCACCCCACCAACAAGCUGAUAGGCCGCGGGCCCAUCCCCAGCCGAAAAAACUUUCCACCACACACCAUGCGACAUGUGGUCAUAUCCGGUAUUAGACCCAGUUUCCCAGGCUUAUCCCAGAGCUGAGGGCAGGUCACCCACGUGUUACUCACCCGUUCGCCGCUCGUGUACCCCCGAAAGGGCCUUACCGCUCGACUUGCAUGUGUUAAGCACGCCGCCAGCGUUCGUCCUGAGCCAGGAUCAAACUCU
rnacentral:rRNA from 1 species